AGCGAACGCUGGCGGCAGGCCUAACACAUGCAAGUCGAACGAACUCUUCGGAGUUAGUGGCGGACGGGUGAGUAACACGUGGGAACGUGCCUUUUGGUUCGGAAUAACUCAGGGACACUUGUGCUAAUACCGAAUGUGCCCUUCGGGGGAAAGAUUUAUCGCCAUUAGAGCGGCCCGCGUCUGAUUAGCUAGUUGGUGAGGUAACGGCUCACCAAGGCGACGAUCAGUAGCUGGUCUGAGAGGAUGACCAGCCACACUGGGACUGAGACACGGCCCAGACUCCUACGGGAGGCAGCAGUGGGGAAUCUUGCGCAAUGGGCGAAAGCCUGACGCAGCCAUGCCGCGUGAAUGAUGAAGGUCUUAGGAUUGUAAAAUUCUUUCACCGGGGACGAUAAUGACGGUACCCGGAGAAGAAGCCCCGGCUAACUUCGUG
rnacentral:rRNA from 1 species